UCUGGGCAGUAACUGACGNUGAGGAGCGAAAGCAUGGGGAGCGANCAGGAUUAGAUACCCUGGUAGUCCAUGCUGUAAACGGUGGGCGUUAGGUGUGGGGACCGGUUUGGUUUUNUGUGCCGUAGCUAACGCAUUAAGCGCCCCGCCUGGGGAGUACGGCCGCAAGGCUAAAACUCAAAGGAGUUGACGGGGGCCCGCACAAGCGGCGGAGCAUGUGGAUUAAUUCGAUGCAACGCGAAGAACCUUACCUGGGUUUGACAUGCACCAGACGGUUGUAGAGAUACGUACCUCCCUUUGUGGUUGGUGUGCAGGUGGUGCAUGGUUGUCGUCAGCUCGUGUCGUGAGAUGUUGGGUUAAGUCCCGCAACGAGCGCAACCCUUGUCUUAUGUUGCCAGCACUUUGGGUGGGGACUCAUGAGAGACUGCCGGGGUUAACUCGGAGGAAGGUGGGGAUGACGUCAAACCAUCAUGCCCUUUAUGCCCAGGGCUUCACACAUGCUACAAUGGUUAGUACAACGCGCGGCAAACCUGUGAGGGUGAGCGAAUCGCUGAAAGCUAAUCUCAGUUCGGAUUGGGGUCUGCAACUCGACCCCAUGAAGUCGGAGUCGCUAGUAAUCGUAGAUCAGCAAUGCUGCGGUGAAUACGUUCCCGGGCCUUGUACACACCGCCCGUCACGUCAUGAAAGUUGGUAACACCCGAAGCCCAUGGCC
rnacentral:rRNA from 1 species